rnacentral:rRNA from 1 species
CGGUGAAUACGUUCCCGGGCCUUGUACACACCGCCCGUCAAGCCAUGGAAGCCGGGUGGACCUGAAGAUGGUGCGCGUUACGGCAGCCGUUUAGGGUAAAACCGGUAACUGGGGCU